GAUGAACGCUGGCGGCGUGCCUAAUACAUGCAAGUCGAGCGAACAGACGAGGAGCUUGCUCCUCUGACGUUAGCGGCGGACGGGUGAGUAACACGUGGAUAACCUACCUAAAGACUGGGAUAACUUCGGGAAACCGGAGCUAAUACCGGAUAAUAUAUUGAACCGCAUGGUUCAAUAGUGAAAGACGGUUUUGCUGUCACUUAUAGAUGGAUCCGCGCCGCAUUAGCUAGUUGGUAAGGUAACGGCUUACCAAGGCAACGAUGCGUAGCCGACCUGAGAGGGUGAUCGGCCACACUGGAACUGAGACACGGUCCAGACUCCUACGGGAGGCAGCAGUAGGGAAUCUUCCGCAAUGGGCGAAAGCCUGACGGAGCAACGCCGCGUGAGUGAUGAAGGUCUUCGGAUCGUAAAACUCUGUUAUUAGGGAAGAACAAAUGUGUAAGUAACUAUGCACGUCUUGACGGUACCUAAUCAGAAAGCCACGGCUAACUACGUG
rnacentral:rRNA from 1 species